rnacentral:misc_RNA from 1 species
GCGCGGCAUCUAACGGUGGAGGUUCAAUGUAAAAAUUCCUCCGGGAUCAAAACCGUUGGGAUCGCAAAAGUUCCGACGUCGGAUUUUAUUGGAGGAAUUUUGCCCGAAGAUUAUUUGCAUUUUUUGAGUUAUAGGCUUAGGAAUGAAAAGGGGGAGAAGAAUGGGAUAAUUAAUUUUUCUGUUAGGGUUAAAAAUGCGGCGGCGCCGUCUCAAAGUGCGGCCGGCUGCGCUGCGGCUUAUACGAAGGCCGCACCGGUGGAUAUGGGAAGUAGUUAUAACGGUUCUUGUGGGAUUGUUACGGGUUUGCCCGUUUAUCCGGGGAAUUUUCUAGGUAAUUCAAUGGCGAAGAGAUUUUAAAUUUUUGUUCUUUUAUUUAUUUUAUCAAAUUGAAUUUGUAUAGACAUGUUUAGGAUGAAUUUGAUAACUGCUUUACUCGACAGAAAGUUAUGUCGUGUUUAUUAAUUAAUAGUCUAUCAAUU